rnacentral:rRNA from 1 species
CCAGACUCCUACGGGAGGCAGCAGUGAGGAAUAUUGGUCAAUGGGCUUACGCCUGAACCAGCCAAGUCGCGUGAGGGAAGACUGCCCUAUGGGUUGUAAACCUCUUUUGUCAGGGAGCAACGCCGGCUACGUGUAGCCGGACUGAGAGUACCUGAAGAAAAAGCAUCGGCUAACUCCGUGCCAGCAGCCGCGGUAAUACGUAGGGGGCAAGCGUUAUCCGGAUUUACUGGGUGUAAAGGGAGCGUAGGUGGCAUGGCAAGCCAGAAGUGAAAACCCGGGGCUUAACCCCGCGGAUUGCUUUUGGAACUGUCAGGCUGGAGUGCAGGAGGGGCAGGCGGAAUUCCUGGUGUAGCGGUGAAAUGCGUAGAUAUCAGGAGGAACACCGGUGGCGAAGGCGGCCUGCUGGACUGUAACUGACACUGAGGCUCGAAAGCGUGGGGAGCAAACAGGAUUAGAUACCCGUGUAU